rnacentral:rRNA from 1 species
AGGGUUUGAUCCUGGCUCAGAAUGAACGCUGGCGGCGUGGUUUAGGCAUGCAAGUCGAACGAGAAACCAACUUCGGUUGGGAGUAAAGUGGCGCAAGGGUCAGUAAUGCAUGGCUAACCUGCCCCGAGCCCCGGGAUAACCCUGCGAAAGCGGGACUAAUACCGGCAAAGGACAUCGGUUGGACGCAUGUCCGGCCGAUCAAAGGAGGGGACCUCGCAAGGGGCCUUCCAGCUCGGGAGGGGGCCAUGUCCUAUUGGAUUGUUGGUGAGGUAACGGCUCACCAAGGCUUAUGGGUAGGCGGACUGAGAGGUUGACCGCCGACACUGGCACUGAGACACUGGCCAGACUCCUACGGGAGGCUGCAGUCGAGAAUAUUUUGCAAUGGGCGAAAGCCUGACAAUGCGACGCCGCGUGGGGGAUGAAGGCCUUCAGGUUGUAAACCCCUUUUGCGUAUUAUGAAGGGCCGGGAUGUCAAUACCAUCCCGGUUACACGACGUAAGUACGAGAAAAAGCACCGGCUAACUCUGUGCCAGCAGCCGCGGUAACACGGAGGGUGCAAGCGUUAUUCGGAAUCACUGGGCAUAAAGCGCGCGUAGGCGGCCGGUCAAAUCGGGAGUGAAAUCCUUCGGCUCAACCGGAGAACUGCUUUCGAAAAUGGUCGGCUAGAGGAUGGGAGGGGAGAGUGGAACUCAUGGUGGAGCGGUGAAAUGUUUAGAUAUCAUGAGGAACGCCGGUGGCGAAAGCGACUCUCUAGUCCAUUUCUGACGCUGAGGUGCGAAAGCCAGGGGAGCAAAUAGGAUUAGAUACCCUAGUAGUCCUGGCCCUAAACGAUGGGCACUAAGUAGAGGGGGUUCCGAUACUUUUUCUGCUGAAGCUAAUGUGUUAAGUGCCCCGCCUGGGGAGUAUGGUCGCAAGGCUAAAACUCAAAGGAAUUGACGGGGGCUCGCACAAGCGGUGGAGCAUGUGGCUCAAUUCGAUUCUACGCGAAGAACCUUAUCCCGGGCUUGACAUGGCAGUGGUACUGAACCGAAAGGGGAGGGACUCCGAAAGGGGAGCUGUCACAGGUGCUGCAUGGCUGUCGUCAGUUCGUGUCGUGAGAUGUUUGGUUAAGUCCUUUAACGAGCGAAACCCAUGCCCUUAGUUGCUACCGGGUCAAGCCGGGCACCCUAAGGGGACUGCCCAUGUAAAUGGGAGGAAGGUGUGGAUGACGUCAAGUCCUCAUGGCCCUUAUGCCCGGGGCUGCACACGUGCUACAAUGGCCGGUACAAAGGGAUGCCAAGCCGCGAGGUGGAGCCAACCCCGCAAAGCCGGCCUCAGUUCGGAUUGAAGGCUGAAAUUCGCCUUCAUGAAGUUGGAAUCGCUAGUAAUCGCGAAUCAGCAAUGUCGCGGUGAAUAUGUUCCCGAGCCUUGUACACACCGCCCGUCAAGCCACGAGAGCCGGCAGGGCCCGAAGUCGCCUACUUAACUUUUCACGAAGGAAGAGGCGCCGAAGCC